UACGGAGGGUGCGAGCGUUGUCCGGAAUCACUGGGCGUAAAGGGCGCGUAGGUGGCCCGUGGAAGUCUGCGGUGAAAGCCCGGCGCUCAACGCAGGGUCGGCCGUGGAUACUCUCGGGCUUGAGCUUACUAGAGGCAGAUGGAAUUCCGGGUGUAGCGGUGGAAUGCGUAGAGAUCCGGAAGAACACCGGUGGCGAAGGCGGUCUGCUGGGGUAAUGCUGACACUGAUGCGCGACAGCGUGGGGAGCAAACAGG
rnacentral:rRNA from 1 species